GUUUAUUGUGGAUAACAUUGUAAAAAAUUGUACUAAAUAAAUUUAUUUUUCUUUCUGUCAUCUUGUAAAUUAUAGCAAUACUUGUUGAAAGAAGGAAACAAAUUUUCUAGGUCCAGAGAGAAGCCAGUACAAAAAAAUGUUAUUACCAGGAUAAUGAAUCUGUAGUAGUCAAAACUACAAUGAUGGAACAAGCAUUCCCUUUGAGGUGAGAUAUUUGAGCAUCUUUCAGGCAUUAAAUAAUGGAUUAUAAACAUCUGAUGUAUGGUUGUAUUUUU
rnacentral:lncRNA from 1 species